GCUCCCGUGGCGCAAUGGUAGCGCGCAAGACUUCUAUAUGGGUCUUCUGGCUGAUGAAUUAUAAAUAUAUGUGAAUUGGUCUGAAAAUAUGUGAAUCUUGAGGCUGCGGGUUCGAGCCCCGCCGGGAGCU
rfam:Aspergillus glaucus CBS 516.65 unplaced genomic scaffold ASPGLscaffold_5, whole genome shotgun sequence.